AUCAAUGGACUUCUUAAGGAGCUAAACAAGAAUCAAGAAGAUGUCGUUCAAUACUCACUCAUAGUGAUCACGGCUCAAGAGGAUUGGUAAAGGGUUAAGUGUUGCUUAUGCACUCUUUUUCCCUUGUCAAGUUUUGUCCCAAUGGGUUUUCUUAACAAGGUUUUUAAUGAGGCUUAAGUAACAUUUUCAAGCCCCUUUAUCAAUCCAAUUCGUGGUCCAAGGCCCACUCACAAAGCCUUGGCCCAUUUUCC
rnacentral:lncRNA from 1 species